rnacentral:pre_miRNA from 1 species
CUACUGCUCCCUUCGUCCGGAAAUACUUAUCAUCAAAAUGGAUAAAAGAAGGUGUAUCUAGACGUAUUUUAGUUUCAGAUACAUCUCCUUUUAUCCAUUUUGAUGACAAGUAUUUUCGGACGGAGCGAGUAUUAU